AUUGAACGCUGGCGGCAUGCUUUACACAUGCAAGUCGAACGGUAACAGGCCUUCGGGUGCUGACGAGUGGCGCACGGGUGAGUAAUGCAUCGGAACGUGCCCAGAGGUGGGGGAUAACGCAGCGAAAGCUGUGCUAAUACCGCAUGUGAUCUGAGGAUGAAAGCGGGGGACCAGGCAGCAAUGUUUGGCCUCGCGCCUUUGGAGCGGCCGAUGUCAGAUUGGGUAGUUGGUGGGGUAAAGGCCUACCAAGCCGACGAUCUGUAGCUGGUCUGAGAGGACGACCAGCCACACUGAGACGGAGACACGGCCCAGACUCCUACGGGAGGCAGCAGGGGGGAAUUUUGGACAAUGGGCGCAAGCCUGAUCCAGCAAUGCCGCGUGCGGGAAGAAGGCCUUCGGGUUGUAAACCGCUUUUGUACGGAACGAAAAGGCUCUGGCUAAUACCUGGGGCUGAUGACGGUACCGUAAGAAUAAGCACCGGCUAACUACGUG
rnacentral:rRNA from 1 species